GUAGCCACCCGGCCGUUUUCUAGGAUAGCGCCCCGGUUUACCGCCCCACGGCCUGCUCACGACUCCCCGCUGUGGGUGUCUUCCGCCUCCACAAGCUACUUAAGAAUCUGGGGAACUUGCCUUAUUCAGCCAAGUCUCACCGCAGCGCAGAGUGGGCCCCCUAGAAGUAUUUGUGGAGUGAAGCAGGGCAGCGUGGAGGAUGCGUUUGACGGAGAGUGGGGGGGACACCCUAAGACCCAGGGACCUGGAGAUGGCUUGAACCUGAUGGUGAGACGCUAGGUGGGGUCAGGGACCCCCCCGAACUUCCGGCUACUGCAAAUGGGUGGCUGGUGCAGUGAGUCACUGACAUAAAGAAACUAGAAAAUAAAUAUAUAUUUUUUUUGGGGGGGGGGACACAUGAAUUUGGUUGCCCUGGAGACACACAAGCGAAGUCACGGAGGCAUCACUGAUGCCCAACUUUGAGUAUGGAGCAGGUGAAAGAGCUGCAUACCCUGCGUAUCUCACACUGGUAGAUUUUCAGUUAUUGCCCGAUAACCUGUUGAUUGGACAGCUCUAACCUAUGAUCUGUUUCCAUCAAUAUUCUUGCACAAUGAUGAUAUUUUAUGCGGUUGAAUCCCUCUAGGGAGGCAGUGUUAGUUACUGUCCUUAAAAUGUCAUUAUUUACUCUUUCCCAUCUUUUCUGUUUUUUUUUUUUUUCCAUCCACUGUCCUCGAUCCACGUUGAUGCACCAGAAGUGUUUUCACAUGGCCAAAAAUGAAAAUGAGAGAAAUAAGUGACCGCAAAGCAGAGGUGGAGAUUUGUUCCAGAAUUCAUUGCUAAUUAUGGACCUUUGUAUCAAGGGUCAGAUCACUCCUCAGAUUCUGUAUUAGUUAGUAUCUUUCCUCUGAGUUUCCGUAUUUCCCGCCUUUACUUUGGGUAGGUUUGGUUUCUCAUUUAGCUCCCCAGGUUUUUCUGGCUCAGACUGGGAGUCAGGAAAGUUGCCUAUGAGCAUAGCAUGGUUGCAUCUUUGAUGGGACUGCAGAGGAAAGGGGAAUCCUGUAUCUCAAGUAAGCACUGGCAUCUUUUAGCCAAAAGGAAAGGGAAAUCUUUGUUACCUUGCCACUGGUAAUCAGCAGAGUCAGGAGGCAAUUCAUUCCCAUGAAGUGUUGGGGGUGUUCUGAAAACCAUCAUAAGAGAGCAGCAUACCUAAUGAAAAUCCUCAUUUUAUGGGCAAAAUGCACAUCUUUGUUUUUAUGAAGCAGUAUUAUGCAGUGAUAGCAUAUCACUUCAAAGGCUGCUACCCUACCACUAGAGGGAGCAAAAAUCCUCCGCAUGUAAAUGUGUUGGAUUCCUUUCACAAAUGGAAACCUUCUAGUUUCCUGCAUAUUGCAUAGUUAAUGAUUCCCUUCUCCGAGAUUAUCUGUCAUUUCUAGAAAUGCCCAUUGGUUUCCUCACGCAUGGCCUAGCGUCUAGGAGGGCACUGUCUUCCAAGUACCCCUCCUGCCUUGCUCCCUUAGCUAGUGGGGUGCUCCCACCCAACCUCCUACCACGGGACCAUUGCUCACCUUCCUCCUGCAUGCCAAAUCUUCUGUCAGAACUCUUACUGACAGCGCUCUAGCUGAGAAAGCUAUUUUGGUUCCACCAAAAAAGUGGCUGUCAUCUGGAAGGCACAGAGAUUUUCAUUUUCAAGAAGCUCAGAAGGUAGCAGGACAAGGUUUCUAGCAAAAAACAUUCUCUUAGGGAGAUUUUCUCAGCUCUUAUUUUAUUCACAUAAUUGACACAGUACAAAUAAGUUUAGAACAGGUUUUUAAAAAGAUAGGUAAUGCAGAGCAGAAUUUCAAGUUGUUACUUAUAAAUGGCAAUAGUUAGAAAGUAUGCCUAAAAUAACAUGGUUUUGUUUAGUAUUCUUCAGAGAGUUUUUGAAUGUGAGAGUUGAAUCAGAUUAGCUUACCCCUGGGUUUGACUCAAAAUCCCCAGGUGUCUGUGUAAACACAUUGAUUUCUGAACACAAAUCACUCUCCCCCCAACUCUAAGCUGUGUUUAAUUGUAAUCACUCCUUUUCUCUUCCUUUCAUUAGCUUGGGAUGGGGGAAAUGAUGUGAAAACAUGGUAUUCCAGGAUUUAUAACUUCAUCAGUUACAUGGGUAAAAUGUGAAAGAAUGAUUUUUUUUUUUUAGAAUUUCAAUUUAGGUUCUAAUUUUUUAGAACCACUUGUAUCAUUUUUAUAAUGAAGUAAACAAUUUUAAUGGAAACAUGGAAAUUCCCAGUGAAAUUAAAAGGAAAUAGUUUCCACUAUUCACUUUAAUAAUAUAUCAUGGCAAUGUACCUCAAUAUCUCUUUGUGUAUAAUUUUGAAUCUUAAAAUUGUGUUAACCAACCUAUUCUUUGAUUUCCUGUGGAAACAAAGACAGUGCUUUAAAGACAUUUUGCAGACUAAUAAACAAAAUGCCCUUGGUGUCUAAUAGAGCUGGAUGUGGAUUUUUUUUUUUUUUAGUUUAUUCAUUUAUUUGAGAGUGAGAGAGUAGGGGGAAAGGGCAGAGGGAGAGAGCGAGAAUCCCAAGCAGAUUCCCUUCUGAGCAUGGUGCCCAACAUAGGACUCAAUCUCAUGACCCUGAGAUCAUGACCUGAGCCAAAAUCAAGAGUCAGAUGCUGAAACGACUGAGCCACCAGGUGCCCCAGGAUGUGGUGUUUCUUAACACAGUUGUGAGUUUAGUCCCUCUGUGGGACCAUUGAUAGGACCAAGUUUCUAUCUGUUCUAUGGCUGUAGUGCCUAGCCUGCUGUCUUAAAUUUUGUGCUAUGUGGUAGGGAGGAAAGGUAACUAGGUCAGCAUACAUUCUCUUUUUUAAAAAAGUCCACUCAGAAUGAUAUAUAAAUGACAAAAAUUGGCAGCAUCAUUUUCAUGUCAGAAGAACAUUGACACUUAGAGGAAGUUCUGUUUUUGAAAAAGCAUCCUGAAGACAUAAAAUUCCUUCUUAGAAAAACCACAUUUUAAGAUCCAGUGAAGUGUCAUUAGGGGAAGAAGAAGAAAGACUGGGAAUAUGUGCAUGCUAGACAAUUGGGAGAAUAAGAUUCAUUUCCUUUUAUUUUACCAUUAAAUCUUGAUUCUGAUAAAAUACUGAUGUGGAGGGAACAAUUGCUUUCUCUAGAAGAUUGCUUUGAGGCAAAGAAAUCUAUAACUUUUUCUUCCUUUCCAAGGCAAGGAAAUAGAACACCCUGUCCAAUGUCUUUGUAGAGAUAAAGUGCAAUCUGGGGAAGAUGAGGCUAGUGCAUUGCUGCUAUUAGGCUUGCCUGGCCCAUAAACUGUAAUCUCUCCACGUCUUUCCUUCUUUCUGGUCUCAAGGGCUUUUUCUUUUCUAGAAAUCUGACUAAUCCUGGAAGCAAAGAGGAAUUAUGUGUAAGAAAGAAGCUCCCCCUCUACAUAUCCCCAUGACUCACCAUUUACUUGAAAGAAGAUACUCCUGAGUCACAAGUAAUGAGAAGUAGAAUAUGUUAAGCUCUAUGUCCCUGUAAGCUAUGUUGUUUCACAUGUGGUCAGAUUCCUGCUAUGCACUAAAAAGCUCUCUCUUUUAUGUUUUAGCAUUGGGUAUUUACCCUUCAAAGUUAUGGAGCUUUUGUACCCCCCCCCACACACACACACACGCAUGCACACACACACUUCUAAGUAGCAUCUUAUUUACAGAUCAGGUGCAUAUACUGGUCAAUAGCUUUCAAGUUUCAAAACAGAUGACUUUUUUGUAUGUCAAAUGAUUCUCUUGAUUUUAAAUCUAAAGAUUUAAGGACUAGAAGCAUGACAUCAAAAAACAACUCCACCAAGACACAUGAGCUUUGAUGACACUUUUCCCUCAGUGAAUGAAAUCCUACUUGCUAAUUGAAGAGAAGAUGUAGCUGACUCUACCAGGAUGGCACAGAAGAGGACAGAAAGGCUUAUCUUACACGUGCUGCCAGAGAUAUAAGGUGUCACUUAUUUCAAAGUGAUAAUAUCCCUUUGCAUUGGUUCUGUUGUGCAAUGGAUCACAUGAACUGUGCUUCUUGCUGUGUAAGUUAAUAGUUGUCAUCCAUGGAUGGAGUUGAAAAAUAAAAACUUCACUUUAGCAUGAGCCUGUGCUACCUCUGUAGACAGCUGGGGGCAGCUGUGUCAAGACCUGCAGUGUCAUCAUGGCUGCCUAAGGUCCUGGUCAGCCUCUUGGCCCUGGCCUCUUUCUCCUACAUGCCCUGUUGAAGGCCUGGCGUAAGAUGGAAAUUCUGGCCCAACUCUGGUUGGCUUGAACUUGAUGCAAGGUCAGUUCAGAGGACAAAAGACAAGGACCUUUCAGCUUGAAGCCAAAGGUGUUACUACUUAGAAUGUAGGGCACACAACACAAGGCUGGCAGAUGGGGGGGAUGACGUUAGGGAGCAUGAAUCUGUGUGGAGACACUUUGGAUCACACCAGACUGAAGGAGGAUACACAGGGACCUGAUCCUAGGACCUAGGGCUGAACGUCCUGUCCCAAGAGUACUUGAUGGAAAGUCUGGGUACAGAGCUCCAGCUGCACUGCAGUGUCUUUGGACCUAGAGGAUCUAGGUCGCCAGGAGCCCUACUCCCUAUCCACUCACUCCAGGAUCUGGCCAGAUGGAGCAGCCCCACCAUCUUGAAAAUUGAUGGUCACACAGCAGAAAAAGGAACACAGUAAACCAGGUCCUGGUUCUUAAAACAUCUGCCUAGACAAGUCACCUGCCCCUUCUACCUGUAUUUUAUUGUCCUUAUCAAAUUAUAUGGUCACCCCUGAUUUCAACAUAGAUGGAAUGUACCCCCUGCAGGAGGGGCAGUGUGGGAAAAGAAAAUGAAUAUCUGGUGGACGGUUUUACGAGGUACUGCUGGAGGCUAUUAUUGUAGUCCAAACAAGACGAGAUGGGACGUUUGAUCGAAGUGAUGCUAGUCAAGACCGGGACAAAUGGGCAGAUUUGAGGUUAUUUUUGGAGUUCUUUUCUGGAUAUGGAAAUGGCUUGACUCCGAUGGAGGUUUGUUGUUGUUGUUGUUGUUGUUGUUGUUGUUUGGUCACUCUCAUUAGACUGUGAACCUCAUGAGGCAAGCCAUGAUAUUCAUCUCCAUUUAUCCAAGGCCAAGCAUAAAAUUGUUUACCGAAUGAAGGAAUGGGAUUCACAGAUCAAAAACCUGCCUCCUGGAUAUACUAUGGCGUGGAAUUUCCCACAGUUGGGGUGAAUCUGUUCUGUAGAGGGAGGGAGAAGAUUUAAAAAAAAAAAUGUUUUACACAUAAGAGAAAGCCUCACUCAUUGGAUUUUCUGCAGGAUUGUGAGGGACAUCGAUUUAGGAAAUGGUCCGGGCCACAGCACUGCUCCUUCCUGGGGGGAGAGCCUGACUGGGCCCGUCCUGUUCCAUUGCCUCCUGGGACUGACAUUUCUUCCAUUUCUUCCAUCUCCGUCAGCUUCCGAUCGCUUUGCACCCCGGGAGGGGGCGGAGGAGUGGCCAUCUGCGGCGAUGCCUCUGGAGAAAACAGAGUUUAGAUACAGCCCAUAAAUCCAGCCCAGUGAAUGACUCCCUUAAACAAAGACAAUGGCUGGUGGAGCGGGGGUGGGGGGUGGGGGGAACCCGCCGAAAAGAAAUCUUGAAAAAUUGCCGCGAGGAGGUCUGCCCUCCAGGUUGCUGCCCUCCCUGCUCCCCUACCCCCCCCCCCGACGCUGCUUGGCCCCGCGGGCCGCUGGUUGCACAAGUGACCUGCUGGGUUUCCAAGAGACCUCCCCACCUCCCCCCCUUCCCCCGACCGCCCCCCCCAGCCUGCUGCGCCUUCGGGAGGCGGUGCUGGGCGCCCCAGCCUCCGCCCCCGGCUGUGGUCCUGGGGGGGGGCAGCCUGCGUUGCGCUAGCACAUUCCUUCCCCUCUCGGUGUGGUGGCCCUCUGUCACCCCGCGGGGACCAGCGCCUUCUCUAACACCUGCUCCGGAGCCCCCCCCCCCGGGGUUCAUGGCUGGUCCUUGCUGCAUCCUGGUCCUCUUGGUUCAACAUCAGGGAUGGGGGUGAGGGGGGGAGGGAUGGUGUUAGCCAAGGUCACUGCGUCCCGGCCCCCGGGGCAGGAAAGGGUGUGCGGCUCGCGCCCCGGGGGCGGAGGGGUGGGGGGGGCGGUGGAGGAGCCCCAUCCCUGUCCGGGAGACCACAGGCCGGGAACGUGCUCCUGGCACAGACGUGGGCUCAGCUCCGGGCGCAGGCCUGGCCCGAGGCUUCAGUCCCGGGGCUUCCAGGAGCCGGCUCCCUGCGGGG